GUGCCAGCAGCCGCGGUAAUACGUAGGGUCCAAGCGUUAAUCGGAAUUACUGGGCGUAAAGCGUGCGCAGGCGGUUGUGCAAGACCGAUGUGAAAUCCCCGAGCUUAACUUGGGAAUUGCAUCGGUGACUGCACGGCUAGAGUGUGUCAGAGGGGGGUAGAAUUCCACGUGUAGCAGUGAAAUGCGUAGAGAUGUGGAGGAAUACCGAUAGCGAAGGCAGCCCCCAGGGAUAACACUGACGCUCAUGCACGAAAGCGUGGGGAGCAAACAGGAUUAGAUACCCUGGUAGUCCACGCCCUAAACGAUGUCAACUAGUUGAUGGGGAUUCAUUUCCUUAGUAACGUAGCUAACGCGUGAAGUUGACCGCCUGGGGAGUACGGUCGCAAGAUUAAAACUCAAAGGAAUUGACGGGGACCCGCACAAGCGGUGGAUGAUGUGGAUUAAUUCGAUGCAACGCGAAAAACCUUACCUACCCUUGACAUGCCACUAACGAAGCAGA
rnacentral:rRNA from 1 species